AUGACGGAGAUCACACGCUCCUUCGACCAGGCGCGGCCAGCCUCCAUCUCCGGCCACUUUGGCCUCGCCCCCGACCUUGCUCGUUGCUCCUUCGACCACACGCUCCGCCGCGAGCUGUCGCAAGCUGAGCUGAAUCUUGUUGGGUUGAGCCGAGCAAGGUCACCGUCGGUUGUGACUUGUUGGAGUCUUCUCCUGGUAGCAACAACAGGCUUUGGCUUGAAGGCCCCAACAACCACUGACUAUUGUGAUGGAAACUCAUUUGAUUUGCUGCGUAUCAUCAAACAGCUGUUGCUCUCUCUAAGUCCUCACGCUGCUGCUGCUAACCAUGUUGUUGCUCCUCUAUUUCUGCGCCUCCUGCUGCUUGCCUCUUCUCUGAAUCCACUAAACCCACUGCUGCACUUCUUCUCUGAACCUGUUUCUUGCUGCUCGCUGCUACUCCUCUCUCCAUCCCCACGAUUGCUUCUUCUUCUCCUAACCUCGCUGCUGGUCUUCUCUAAAGUCUGA
rnacentral:rRNA from 1 species